rnacentral:pre_miRNA from 1 species
UAAAUUUGUCUAAAUACAGAUGUAUCUAGUUACAUUUUAGUGUUAGAUACAUCCGUAUCUAAACAAAUGUAAGACAAGAAUUUUGGGACGGAGGGAAUACUAC